CUAACGGCUGAACCAGCAACUUGGAGGAAGGUAUAGCGUUAGCUAAUUAUAUUUAGUUAAAUAUAAUUUCGACUAUGUCGUAUAAAAUUCUAGGUAGAAUUAUGAUAAUGACAUUUUCUAUCUAUGUGUCUUGACUAAAUCUCGUGCCAGCAGUCGCGGUAAGACGAGAAAGACUAGUGUUAUUCAUCUUUAAUAGGUUUAAAGGGUACCUAGACGGUAUUUCUAGCCAAUUUGGUACAGAUUUACUAGAGUUUAAUAUGUAGGAGGGUCGUAUUUCUGGUGUAGAGAUGAAAUAUUUUAAUACCUUAAGGACUGGUAAAAGCGAAAGCAACCUUAUAUCUAUGUAUAAACUGACGUUGAGGGACGAAGGCUUGGAUAGCAAAAAGGAUUAGAUACCCAAGUAGUCCUUGCAGAGAAUAAUGAAUGUCAUAGAUUAGAUUAGACCAAUUUAGUCUAUAAAUGAAAGUGUAAGCAUUCCACCUCAAGAGUAAUGUGGCAACGCAGAAACUGAAAUCAUUAGACCGUUUCUGAAACCAGUAGUGAAGUAUGUUGUUUAAUUCGAUGAUCCACGAAAAACCUUACCACAAUUUGUAUAAUAUUUACACGAAUAUUUACACGCGUUGCACGGCUGUCUUCAGUUAAUGUCGUGAGAUUUAGGUUUAUUCCUUUAAAUUAACGUAAACCCUUGCUUUUUUUAUUUUUUAUAAAAAAGUAGUACAACUGUUAUAUUGGUUAUGAUAAAAGGGAUUAAGACAAGUCAUCAU
rnacentral:rRNA from 1 species